rnacentral:sRNA from 1 species
GGCUAGCCCUGACAGCAGCGGCAUCCUUUUUCUGGCUUCUUUAGCCAGGAAAAAGAUAUAGCGGAUGGCAGGAACGUUG